GACGAACGCUGGCGGCGUGCCUAACACAUGCAAGUCGAGCGGGGACAUUGCGACGGACAUGAAGAUUUCGGUUGGAUUGAAAGAUGUAAUGUUCUAGCGGCGGACGGGUGAGUAACGCGUGAGCAACCUGUCCCUUACAGGGGGAUAACACAGCGAAAGUUGUACUAAUACCGCAUAAGACCACAGGAUGACAUCAUCCAGGGGUCAAAGGAGCAAUCCGGUAAGGGGUGGGCUCGCGUCCGAUUAGAUAGUUGGUGAGGUAACGGCCCACCAAGUCGACGAUCGGUAGCCGACCUGAGAGGGUGAUCGGCCACAUUGGGACUGAGACACGGCCCAAACUCCUACGGGAGGCAGCAGUGGGGAAUAUUGGGCAAAUGGGGGAAACCCCUGACCCAGCAACGCCGCGUGAGGGAAGAAGGUUUUCGGAUUCGUAAACCUUACUGUCCUUGGUGAAGAGAAAGAGACGGAGC
rnacentral:rRNA from 1 species